ACCAAAAUGAUGAAGAUUUCUGAUCUGAAUUCCAAUGUGGAAUUGUAGCAUUAAUGGUCUUCAAAGUUCUCUGAUUGCU